rnacentral:piRNA from 1 species
UAAAAAUAAACUCGGGCAACA